AAGAGCCCGGUGCGGGAAAUCCGCACGCCGGGUUCUGUGGGGGUCUGAGCCGUUAAUUGAACGGCCCUUCUACCCGGA
rnacentral:ncRNA from 1 species